rnacentral:rRNA from 1 species
UACGGAGGGGGCUAGCGUUGUUCGGAAUUACUGGGCGUAAAGCGUACGUAGGCGGCUUUGUAAGUUAGAGGUGAAAGCCCGGAGCUCAACUCCGGAAUUGCCUUUAAGACUGCAUCGCUUGAAUCAUGGAGAGGUUAGUGGAAUUCCGAGUGUAGAGGUGAAAUUCGUAGAUAUCGGGAGGAAUACCAGUGGCGAAGGCGCUGACCUGGACGAAGAUUGACGCUGAGGUGCGAAAGCGCGGGGAGCAAACAGG